rnacentral:ncRNA from 1 species
UUUAGGCGCAAAAGUGGUAGUCCAUAUUUCCGUUGGAUUACCCCUAACGCCUUUAAGGUGUAUCCGUGCUAGCCUACAAUAUAAUAUAGGGGCAAUUUGCAUUGUAUGGCUUCUAAACCAUUUAAAGUUUAUAAUUUAUUUGAUAAGCGACAGUGGAUGUGAUGCCAAUGUAAUUUGUAACAUAGUAAUUUAGGAGGAUCUUCGAUCACCUGAUGCCGCGCUAGUUACAUAUAAAAGCAUUAUUUAAUACAAUGACAAAGCCUAGAAUCAAUUGUAAACGACUUUUGUAACAGGCAAGGUGUUGUAAGUGGUUGAGCAGCUGCCAUACUGCGAUCCACUGAAGCUUAUCCUUUGCUUGAUGAUUCGA